rfam:Ictidomys tridecemlineatus contig116578, whole genome shotgun sequence.
GGGGUUGUGGCUCAGUGGUUGAGCACUCAUCUCACACUUGCGAGAUCCUGGGUUCAAUCCUCAGCAACACAU